GAUGAAGAACGUAGCGAAAUGCGAUACGUAAUGUGAAUUGCAGAAUUCCGUGAAUCAUCGAAUCUUUGAACGCACAUUGCGCCCCUUGGUAUUCCAUGGGGCAUGCCUGUUCGAGCGUCAUUUGUACCUUCAAGCUCUGCUUGGUGUUGGGUGAUUGUCUAUCUUUGUAGACUCGCCUUAAAGUCAUUGGCAGCCGGCAUAUUGGCCUGGGAGCGCAGCACAAGUCGCGCUUCUUGUCAUGAAUGUUGGCGUCCAGUAAGUCUACAUAUUUUGCUCUUGACCUCGGAUCAGGUAGGGAUACCCGCUGAACUUAAGCAUAUCAAUAAGCGGAGGA
rnacentral:misc_RNA from 1 species